rnacentral:rRNA from 1 species
GUGACCUGCGGAAGGAUCAUUAAUGAAUUACAAGUCGAUCGUCUGUGCUGGCAGCAAUGCAUGUGCACGUCGGUUGCAAAUCCACACACUUGUGCACUUUAGACUUUGGGGUUCGCACUUUUGUGCAGUCGGUUGACCUUUUGGUCGACUUGAGCCUCGGGGUAUUUACACACACUCUGAAUGUAAUGGAAUGUACUUGUGCUUAAUCGCGCAUUUAAUACAACUUUCAACAACGGAUCUCUUGGCUCUCGCAUCGAUGAAGAACGCAGCGAAAUGCGAUAAGUAAUGUGAAUUGCAGAAUUCAGUGAAUCAUCGAAUCUUUGAACGCACCUUGCACCCUUUGGUAUUCCGAAGGGUACACCCGUUUGAGUGUCAUUGUAAUCUCACACCCCAAGACUUUUGUCGAAAGGGAUCGUGGACUUGGAUGUUGUCGUGUAACUACGACUCGUCUCAAAUGCAUUAGUGUACCCUGCGUCCGCAGCGUAUUCGGUGUGAUAAGCAUCUUCACCGGAGUCAAGCCCUUCUAGGGCGCGCUUGCAAAUGUUAGGCUCUACGCUGCAAACCGUCUUCGGACAAACCAACUGACAAUUUGACCUCAAAUCGGGUGGGACUACCCGCUGAACUUAAGCAUAUCAAUAAGCGGAGGAAAAGAAACUAACAAGGAUUCCUCUAGUAACGGCGAGUGAAGAGGGAAAGCUCAAUUUCAUCUGACUCCUUUGGUG